rnacentral:rRNA from 1 species
GACGAACGCUGGCGGCGUGCUUAACACAUGCAAGUCGAACGGUGAAGCGCUUUCCUUUUUGGUUGGUGUGGAUGAGUGGCGAACGGGUGAGUAACACGUGAGUAACCUGCCCCCUUCUUCUGGAUAACCGCAUGAAAGUGUGGCUAAUACGGGAUAUUCUGCGCCUGCUGCAUGGUGGGUGUGGGAAAGAUUGUGCCUUUGGGUGUUUUCGGUGGGGGAUGGGCUCGCGGCCUAUCAGCUUGUUGGUGGGGUGAUGGCCUACCAAGGCGGUGACGGGUAGCCGGCCUGAGAGGGUGGACGGUCACACUGGGACUGAGACACGGCACAGACUCCUACGGGAGGCAGCAGUGGGGAAUAUUGCACAAUGGGCGCAAGCCUGAUGCAGCGACGCCGCGUGAGGGAUGGAGGCCUUCGGGUUGUGAACCUCUUUCGCCAGUGAAGCAGGCCUGCUCCUUGUGGGUGGGUUGACGGUAGCUGGAGAAGAAGCGCCGGCUAACUACGUG